AGAUUUAUUGCAGCAGUGAACCUAUUUCGUUCAGCUGCUUUAGAACUUCCCGAAUGGUGUAGGCUCUCUGCAAGUCAGGUUGAUGGUUGGUGAUGAUGAGUGAUGACUGAUGAGGAACUUCUAUUCUUGUAUAGAAUCCGCAUUGUAUGCCAAUUUCAACUAAACAAUCUGACAAUUAUAUACACCUCAGUCAGUUUGAGUCUCAUGAAACCAGCCAUUUUUGGCAGGUUUAAACCCUAAUUGUAUCUGUGCACCUAUGACCUACCCAAUCAUCACAAACAGCCGAAAUGCAGAACAUAGCUUUCAGGAGAGAAAUGCAUCAGGAUCUUUGUCUAACCUAUUUUAUUCUAGGACCUAAACACAAAACAACAGAGGCUGUGGAUUCUAUGGGUACCAUUUCAAGAAACUUCAUAACUGCUAGCCUGUUCCGGUAUGGGGAUGAUGGUAUGUUAGUUCAGACUGUAUGCAAUCUUGUCUGGAAAGCAGAUAAGGCAGGCUGCAAAUGCCGAACACGUUAGCUACCCUCGAAGGUUUGUUGAGAAAAAAAACCCCUAUGAUGCUAAACUCAUUAUAUAAACUGGUACUUUUGUUUGUGCUUGGGUGGUAAAAAGUACCCCAAGUAGCACCUGAAGGGGUAUUUGUGGUGACUCCUUGAGUUCUCAUUGGAUACGCACACGUGGAGUUCGAAGCUGUAAUAAUAGGGAGGUUAAGAUAUGUGACCUGAUGACCCACGUACUGAUGGUCUGUGUUGCUUCAUGCUAUCGUUGUUGCCAGCUGGAUAAUGAUAGCUUCCGGGGUUUACAUCAUUUAGGCACUUGACCAACACCCAUACAAAUCGUCAGCAGUUCGCCUACUCCGAAACACACAAAAACUUUUCACUCACGCUGUAAGUAAUCUCAGCAAAGGGGAGUUCUCAGAAGUCAGAAGUAUAGCCUUCUCUAAUUUUCUCUAACCGCUCAGUACUUACAUGUAGAGAUGUGAUCACCCUGCAAGCUAGACACUGAGCAUCCUACGGACUACAUGGUCCGGCAACAGAUGUUUUGAUUACAUAUUGCAAGCCUCCACGGCUGCACCAAAAGGACAAGUUGCACCUUUGCACAACGGAUGUUAGUACUCCCUUUGUCCCUCUAAGAUUGCCCCAUUAGAGGAACCAAGUAUAACAUACAAGUCGAUCCAAGCAAGACUAAGUUACACUAGUCUUUGAGAUUCAGACAUUAAGGCUCCGUUUGUUUGGUGUAAAAUAUUUCCAGUGUAAAAUGUUUUGCAUGGAAAACAAUUUACAUGGAAAACACAAUUCCGAAAUUAGUUUUCCGUUGUUUGGUUUCAUGUAAGAGAAAUGGUGAAACGAAAGGAAAAUGAAAGGGAGAGGUAUUAAAAGGAGUGUACAAGAGAGAUAAGGAAAAGGAAUGAAAACAGUUUUCCCUCAUUUUGAAGGGAAAAUGGUUUUUCAUCAUUGGUAGAAUAAUUUUACUUCUAGGAAAAAGGGUUUUACGCUCCUUUGCAAACCAAACGAUGUAAAAAUUGAAAAUACAGGAGCUGAAAAAUGUAUUACGCCCUACGAAACAGAGCCUAUGUGGCCUUAUGUUUUGUAAUUGAACCUCAUUAUUGUUUAAAUAGCGGCUUUGUAACAUAGUCUUUGUAAUUAAAUCUCAUGAUUAUUUAGAUAGGGGCUCAUUUGAUUACAGUGAAAUUGUACUCAAACAUGCAACAUGAACAUACAUGCAAUUUUUCUAUUUACACCUGAUUAUACUUUUAUGGGUAA